GACGAACGCUGGCGGCGUGCCUAAUACAUGCAAGUACAACGCACAGUUUAUACCGUAGCUUGCUACACCAUAGACUGUGAGUUGCGAACGGGUGAGUAACGCGUAGGUAACCUGCCUGGUAGCGGGGGAUAACUAUUGGAAACGAUAGCUAAUACCGCAUAAUAUUAAUUAUUGCAUGAUAAUUAAUUGAAAGGUGCAAUUGCACCACUACCAGAUGGACCUGCGUUGUAUUAGCUAGUAGGUGAGGUAACGGCUCACCUAGGCGACGAUACAUAGCCGACCUGAGAGGGUGAUCGGCCACACUGGGACUGGGACACGGCCCAGACUCCUACGGGAGGCAGCAGUAGGGAAUCUUCGGCAAUAGACGAAAGUCUGACCGAGCAACGCCGCGUGAGUGAAGAAGGUUUUCGGAUCGUAAAGCUCUGUUGUAAGAGAAGAACGGGUGUGAGAGUGGAAAGUUCACACUGUGACGGUAUCUUACCAGAAAGGGACGGCUAACUACGUG
rnacentral:rRNA from 1 species